rnacentral:rRNA from 1 species
AGGUCCGGCUGGGGAGCGGAACGGCAUGGGAGGGCCGGCCGCAGCGGGUGACAGCCCCGUACGCGAACCCAGACCGGACGGCGCGACGCGGUCCCUGAGUAGGGCCGGGCACGUGAAACCCGGUCCGAACCUGGGUGGACCACCAUCCAAGCCUGAGUACUACCCUGUGACCGAUAGCGCACCAGUACCGUGAGGGAAAGGUGAAAAGCACCCCGGGAGGGGAGUGAAACAGUACCUGAAACCGUGCGCCCACGAGCAGUCGGAGCACCUUUGACGGUGUGACGGCGUGCCUUUUGUAGAAUGAGCCAGCGAGUCGCUGGCGCGGGGCGAGGUUAACCGAAAGGGAGCCGGAGCGAAAGCGAGCCUUAACAGGGCGACUUGAGUCCCGCGCCGCGGACGCGAAGCCGGGUGAGCUAUCCGUGGGCAGGCUGAAGCGGGGGUAAGACCCCGUGGAGGGCCGAACGCACGUCGGUUGAAAACGGCGGCGAUGACCUGCGGAUAGGGGUGAAAGGCCAAUCAAACCCGGAGAUAUCUCGUUCUCCCCGAAAUAGCUUUAGGGCUAGCGUCGCGCGUUCACCGCCGGAGGUAGAGCACCGGAUGGACGAGGGGGCUUCGCCGCCUACCGAAUCCAACCGAACUCCGAAUGCCGGCGGCCCAGAGCGCGGCAGUCAGAGCAUGUGGGCUAAGCUGUGUGCUCGAGAGGGAAACAGCCCGGACCGCCCGCUAAGGUCCCCAAGUUCCAGCCGAGUGGCAAAGGAUGUGCGUCCGCCCAGACAACCAGGAUGUUGGCUUAGAAGCAGCCAUCCAUUCAAAGAGUGCGUAACAGCUCACUGGUCGAGUGGACAUGCGCCGACAAUACACGGGGCUAAGCUGGACACCGAAGCGGCGGGAUUUUAAUUCAUUAGAAUCGGUAGGGGAGCUUCCCAUGGGCGGAGAAGCCGGAGGGCGACCGACGGUGGAGCGCAUGGGAGUGAGAAUGCUGGCAUGAGUAGCGAGAGACGAGAGAGUAACUCGUCCGCCGUGAACCCGAGGUUUCCUGGGCAAGGCUAAUCCUCCCAGGGUCAGUCGGGGGCUAAGGCGAGGCCGGUAGGCGUAGCCGACGCGCAGCAGGCAGACAUUCCUGCACCGCGCACGCGGCGCUACGACCGACGGGGCGACGGAUGGGGGUGGCUCGGCGGGGUUCUGGACGUCCCCGUGAUGGAGCGCGGCCCGCGGACCAGGGAAAUCCGGUCCGCAGGAGGGCGAGGCUCCGGACGAAGCGACUGAGCGAAGCGAGUGAGCCCGAGGUCCCUAGAAAAACCCCUAGGCAGGCGCGUGCGCGCCCGUACCGCAAACCGACACAGGUGGGUGGGUAGAACAUACCGAGGCGAUCGGGUCAACCAUGGUCAAGGAACUCGGCACAAUGGCCCCGUAACUUCGGGAGAAGGGGUGCCCGCGCGUACGUGAACGGACUUGCUCCGGGAGCGGAGGCGGGCCGCAGUGGAGAGGCCCAAGCGACUGUUUACCAAAAACACAGGACUCUGCAGAAGCCGCAAGGCGACGUAUAGGGUCUGACGCCUGCCCGGUGCCGGAAGGUCACGCGGAGGAGUUAGCGCAUCGCGCGAAGCCCCGAAGCCAAGCCCCGGUAAACGGCGGCCGUAACUAUAACGGUCCUAAGGUAGCGAAAUUCCUUGUCGGGUAAGUUCCGACCUGCACGAAAGGCGCAACGACUUGGGCGCUGUCUCGACCAUGGACCCGGUGAAAUUGCACUGGUCGUGAAGAUGCGACUUACCCGCGGAAGGACGGAAAGACCCCGUGAACCUUCACUGCAGCUUGGCAUUGGCCGCUGGUCCCGCGUGUAGAGGAUAGGCAGGAGGCAUCGAUCCGGAGGCGCCAGCCCCCGGGGAGCCGCCCUUGGAAUACUGCCCUCGCGCGACCGGCGUCCUAACCCGAGGCCGUCAACCGGCUCGGGGACCGUGCCAGGCGGGCAGUUUGACUGGGGCGGUCGCCUCCUAAAGGGUAACGGAGGCGCGCGAAGGUCCGCUCGGGACGGUCGGCAACCGUCCUUUUGAAUGCAAGAGUACAAGCGGGCUUGACUGCGAGGCCCACAAGCCGAGCAGGUGCGAAAGCAGGCUCUAGUGAUCCGGCGGCCCCGAGUGGGUGGGCCGUCGCUCAACGGAUAAAAGGUACUCCGGGGAUAACA